AGCAGCAAUUCUGGAAAAACAGCAAAAAAAAGAUAGAUAACAAAUAUGUGUGUGCAUAUAUGAAUACACAUAAAUAUUCAGAUUCCGUUAAAAUAUGUAUUUUAUGUACAUACACUCAUACUCACCUACCCCCAGAAUAUAUAAAAAUCAUAACCAAAAUAUUAACAUUAGUUAUCUUUGGGGGGUGGGAUUACAGAUUUUUUUAUGGCUUUCCUUUUACUUUUUGAUGUUUUCAAAUUUUCUACAGUGACCAUCUAUUACUUUUGAAAAUAUAUGCACUCAAACAAUAAAUGAUAUUUUUGUUUUCUAAACAAACAAAAUUCAUACUGGUGUUCUAGGUAGUAGCUUAGCACCUGCUGUUGUUCAUCUCUCUGUCCCCUUUCUUACCCCACGUGGCCCUCAGGUUUGGAAACCAGUGUGGGGAAUUUGGGGCUCAGUCAUUAAAGGACCCAGAUACUGGAACCAGCCUGUAAUUAACCAUCUGAAGCAAAUCUCUGGGCUCCAGUUUCCUCAUCUUUGAAAUAAGAAAUUAGGGAUGGCAUUAGGUUUCAGCUCAAGCAUCAGCUCUGCUGUAGUGGUGCACUGUGUUGAGAAUAUUUUGAAAGCUUAGUCCAAAACGGAAGAUGGAAAGUUGGAAAGACAUCUAUGAUUGACUAUUAAUGUCUGUCACAGGAAUAAGAGCGGAAAUCCUCCAGUCGUGAGCAACAUAGCUGCGGUGCCUUCCUCAGCCAUCUCUAAUAUCCCUUUCCAAUCUUAAAUUUGACUUUCUUGUGCUUCCUUAUUUAUCUUGCCUUUCUCUAUUUCAUUUUCCUCUUUCUAAAUGCUUCACUUCUUAAAGAUUAUCAGAAUUUUUUUUUUUUCUGCUGCCCAGACUGGAGUGCAGUGGUGUGACCUCCUGUGCUCAAGUGAUCCUCCUGCCUCAGCCUUCCAAGGAUCUGGGACCACAGGUGUGCACCACGAGGCCCAGUUAGCUUUUUAAUUUUUUGUAGAGAUGGGGGUCUCACCUUGUUGCCCAGGCUGGUCUCAAACUCGUGGGCUCAAGCAAUCCUCCUGCCUUGACCUCCCAGAAUGUUGGGAUUACAAGCAUGAGCCACUGCACCUGGCCAGAAAUGUAAUUUGGUUCAAUAAAUAUUUGCUCUAGGAAAUGUAAAGGUAAAUGGGAUUUGGUCCUUACUCCUGAGGAACCCCCAAUCUUGGAGGUGCUAAAGUAGGGAAUCCAGAACAGCAUUUCACCAGAAGAUUUUCUUGGAUUGUAAAGGAUGCUCAGCCUAGUGAUGGCUAAGGGGCUCAUCCGAAGGAAAAGGACAAGGAUGCAGGGAGCAGGUGCCUUGGAAAGAAAGGCCACUGUGCAGAGGAGGGAGGGGAGAGUCUGACUGGCUCUGAACACAUCCUUGCAGGUGGCCCAGUUCUGCCUCAUCUGUCUCCAGUCGCCUGCAUGGGAUCCCUCAGGGCUGGCCAGCAGGGAGCUGGUUGUGCAUCAGGAUAAGCAUUUGCUGCCUUGCUGGGGUUUUGCUAGUAUUAGACAAAUGCAGAAGGCAGACAGUUGGGAGGGGGAAACUAGGUAGGUUGAUGGUGGUCACAGGAUCCUUUCACUGUGCAAUGAGUGGUGUUGAGUUAGAUGCCCUCAUCCCAAGGAGCAUAGAGCAUUGACCCAGGGACAUGAGCUAUCAAAAGGCUGCCCGGGCUCCAAUCCCAGCAUCUCCACUUACCAUCCAUGUGAUCUUGGGCAAAUUAAUAAGUCUCUUUGCCUCGUUUUCUCAUCUGUUAAGUGGGAAUAAUACGAUUACUGAGCCUCCUAGGGUUUGUAUGAGCAUUAAAUGAGCUAAUGCAUACUCAAUACUUAUUCCUUGAAUGUUGAAUGAAUAGGUCUAUGUCUCCCUCCAGACAAAGUGUGUAUACCAUGAUUCAUCUUUGUGACUCUAGCAGCCAAACAUACAUUGUGCCAGAACUUUCAGCUACAAGCAUUUUCCUCCACCUUCCUCUUUUGGGAGAAAGACGCAACAGUUCUGUGGAGAGCAUCAUAAUUCAGAGGACAUGCAGGAACCUCAGCCAACAACACAAACUUCAGGACCAAGCAUGAUGUUAACAUUUUCAAUAGCAGGGCUUGUAGGGGGCAGGAAGAAGAGGAGACAAGAAGUCAAGACUCCUAAUCUCAGCUCCGCAUGAAUGGAAAAACCUCUUUAUGCUUCUGUUAUUUUCUUCCAUAAAAGUAGAUUGGGGAAAGAGUAUAGUUGUUCUUCAAAAAGUAAAUAUAAAACUACCAUAUAACCUAGCAAUUCCACUCCUAGGUAUAUACACAAAAGAAUUGAAAACUGAUACUUAAACAAACAUAUAUACAUGCAUGUUCAUAGCAGCACUAUUCCCAAUAGCCAAAAGGUGGAAACAACCCAAACAUCCCUCAGUGGACAAAUGGAUAAGCAAAUUGUGGUACUUCCUUGCAAUUGAAUAUUAUUCAGGUAUUGAAAGCAAUGAAGUACUGAUGCAUGCUACAACCUGGAUGGACCUCAAAAACAUUAUGCUAAAUGAAAGAAGCAUAGGUCACAUGGUACAUGAUUCCAAUUAUAUGAAAUGUCCAGAAUAGAUAAGUUCAUAGAGACAGAAAGUGUGUCGGUGGUUGCCACAGGUUGGGGGAGAAAGAAAUGGGGAGUAACUGCUUACUGGGAUAGUUUUCUCUUGGGUGAUAGAAGUAUUUGGAACUUGAUAGAGGUGGUGGUCACACAACAUUGUGAAUGUACUGAAGGCCACUAGAUUGUUCACGUUAAAAUCAUUCAUUUUAUGCUAUGUGAAUUUCACUUCAACAACAAAUAAAAAUUUUAAAAAGUAAAUUAUAGGGUAGGGAGAAAAUAGGUUAUAUACAAUUGGAGGGAUGUCGGAUUUCAGAAAUGACUUUCCUUUCACCACGAGAUAGCCUCUCCCAUGUGGAUGAUGAGCUUGGAUCUUUCUGCCUAGACUCAUCCUCUGAAUCAAGGUGUCUAAGGAUUUAAUCUGCCAGACCCCAGGGUGCAGAGGGUGGAGCCUCAAGGCUAGUGCAGGAGAAAGGUACCAAUGCCCCAGGCCAGACGUUACAGUCUCUCUGCCUUAUGGAAUUUCCUGGACCCUGUCCCAGUACUUCAGACCCCUGGCCUCAAGAGGUUUUAGUGUCAUAGUGUUGUGUUGUCAAGUCCUUUGGCUCAGCCCUAACUUAAGAGCAUGUUUCACUUCCUCAUUAGUUUACAAAUAG
rnacentral:lncRNA from 1 species